GCCUACGGGGGGGCAGCAGUGAGGAAUAUUGGUCAAUGGACGAGAGUCUGAACCAGCCAAGUCGCGUGAAGGAUGACUGCCCUAUGGGUUGUAAACUUCUUUUAUAUGGGGAUAAAACGUUCCACGUGUGGGAUUUUGUAUGUACCAUAUGAAUAAGGAUCGGCUAACUCCGUGCCAGCAGCCGCGGUAAUACGGAGGAUCCGAGCGUUAUCCGGAUUUAUUGGGUUUAAAGGGAGCGUAGGUGGAUUGUUAAGUCAGUUGUGAAAGUUUGCGGCUCAACCGUAAAAUUGCAGUUGAAACUGGCA
rnacentral:rRNA from 1 species